UUUAAAAUCGGUCAUAAGGUAGCCGAUUUUAAAAGUGACGCGGUGGCAAUUUUGUAAAUAAUGACAUUACUUUUAAAAUCGGCUACCUUAUGAUCGAUUUUAAA
rnacentral:miRNA from 1 species